AUUGAACGCUGGCGGCAGGCCUAACACAUGCAAGUCGAGCGGAUGAAGGGAGCUUGCUCCUGGAUUCAGCGGCGGACGGGUGAGUAAUGCCUAGGAAUCUGCCUGGUAGUGGGGGAUAACGUCCGGAAACGGGCGCUAAUACCGCAUACGUCCUGAGGGAGAAAGUGGGGGAUCUUCGGACCUCACGCUAUCAGAUGAGCCUAGGUCGGAUUAGCUAGUUGGUGGGGUAAAGGCCUACCAAGGCGACGAUCCGUAACUGGUCUGAGAGGAUGAUCAGUCGCACUGGAACUGAGACACGGUCCAGACUCCUACGGGAGGCAGCAGUGGGGAAUAUUGGACAAUGGGCGAAAGCCUGAUGCAGCCAUGCCGCGUGUGUGAAGAAGGUCUUCGGAUUGUAAAGCACUUUAAGUUGGGAGGAAGGGCAGUAAGUUAAUACCUUGCUGUUUUGACGUUACCAACAGAAUAAGCACCGGCUAACUUCGUG
rnacentral:rRNA from 1 species